rfam:Rhodococcus sp. B7740, complete genome.
CGCGCCCGCGCGGGAGAGUUCCGAGGCACCCAGUCUCGGACGCCGAAGGAGCAACACCUCCCCGUCAAUCUCUCAGGCACACGGACCGUGUGGGCUUC